GGAAGGAUGGCAGAGCGGCUGAAUGCGGCGGUCUUGAAAUCCGUUGAGGGUCAUACCUCCGGGGGUUCAAAUCCCUCUCCUUCCGCCA
rnacentral:tRNA from 1 species